UACGUAGGUGGCAAGCGUUGUCCGGAUUUAUUGGGUUUAAAGGGUGCGUAGGCGGCUUUGUAAGUCAGUGGUGAAAUAUGGCAGCUCAACUGUCAAGGUGCCAUUGAUACUGCGGAGCUUGAGUACAGAUGAGGUAGGCGGAAUUGACGGUGUAGCGGUGAAAUGCUUAGAUAUCGUCAAGAACACCGAUAGCGAAGGCAGCUUACUACACGAGUAUUGACACUGAGGCACGAAAGCGUGGGGAUCAAACAGG
rnacentral:rRNA from 1 species